CCUGGGAGAGGACCGACCUGAUAGCAAGAGUUUCACCUUGAAUCGAAGAAGCAAAAUAGUGCAACAUUGAUAAGGCUUUAACCAAAUUUCCUCCAUUAUCUCAUAAGACAAUUCCCAAACCACCUCUUGUGUUACCCUUGACAAAGCAGCAUCACAGUUUACUUUAGGGGGUGUUUGGUUCGGUAAAUCUUUGGGAUGACAUUCUUCAGAAUGAUAAUUCUUAAUUUUAGGAGUUGUUUGGUUCCACUAGGAUGACCCUCAUAUCCGAGCACCCUACUUCCCAUGAAUGACCAUUUUACAAAAGAUGUGCUUCAAAUCUGAGUUCACCUAAACACCUAAACUCAUAUUUGAACAACGUUUUUUUGACCUAGUAUAAAAGAAAAAAGGGGAAAGACGUUCUGAGGCAACAUCUCAACCCGCGACCUCUCAACGGCGACAUACUCACCCCGCGACCUCUCAAACCGUAAGCCCCGACCUGCGACCUCUCAAACCGAGCCACUCUCACCUAGAGUCCGCCGUUGGCGACUGCAGCAGGCCAAGGUUGUUCCUAAAUCGAGGCCUCAGAUAUUAGACUCUUUGUUUGCAAACAUGAAGGAAUAGAAGAUGAAGACAUCAUCUCAUCAAAUGAGAAGGGGUCGAUUUCAGCAACAACAGCGGAAAAGGGAUCGAUUUAACAGUUAUUCCCACUAACUAGACCUAUGUUGAUCAUUGUGCAAGGAGAUGUGAGAUCAUAUGGGUGUUAAAAAUUGUACCCCAGCCAACCAUGUGGUGCAAAGUAGUGGAUUUAUCUUUAGCACCCAAGUCUCUGAUUAUCAGCAGGAAACAGUCCAUUCUUUGUUUUGCUUCCUUCAGUACUUUUUUCUUCAUUAACCUGACUAUCUCCAAUAUGGAAACUUGUAGAUAUCUUCUUUCAAUUUUUUGAUCUGAGAUUUGGAUUAGUUUGUUUCUCAUCUAGUUUGUAUUGGAAUGGUUGUUAAAUUCAUUGGUGACCAUUUAGUAGCUAA